rnacentral:rRNA from 1 species
UACGUAGGGUGCGAGCGUUAAUCGGAUUUACUGGGCGUAAAGCGUGCGCAGGCGGUCCGCUAAGACAGGUGUGAAAUCCCUGGGCUCAACCUAGGAAUUGCGCUUGUGACUGGCGGGCUAGAGUACGGUAGAGGGGGGUGGAAUUCCUGGUGUAGCAGUGAAAUGCGUAGAGAUCAGGAGGAACACCGAUGGCGAAGGCAGCCCCCUGGGCCUGUACUGACGCUCAGGCACGAAAGCGUGGGGAGCAAACAGG